CAACAUCUCGGGUCGGUUUAAUUUGCAUUUCUUCAUUAUUUAUUCAACACGUGUACCAUUGUGACACAAAACUUAUGAAAGUACAACAUUUCGCACCGCGUUAAUUAAUUGGAUCAGUGUGUCCCCGUAGAAUCCGAAUCCCAAAAAAUUUCCAUAUUUCAGGAGAGAAAAAGGAAGAGAUUAAAAUUUAUUUUUCGUUUAAAAUUUGUUUAUACUUUGCUUGAUUACUUUAAUUUUUGCGAAUCUUAUUUUCGAAGCUAAAUAAUCACCAUACGAUUUUAAUUUCUCUUAGAUCAUCCUGCCCUUCAGGUUCGUUUAUAUUAUCUUUUUCUUUAAACUGCCCUAGUUUUAUUUAACAAUUUAUAAGUGUGAUAAAAAGAUGUUUUUACAAUAUGAGGGCCUGUAAAAGUUGGUUUUUAAGGGUUUUGCUUUUCCAAAUUUAAAUCAUGUUCAGGUUCAUUGCAUUUACUGCAGUUUGGUUUUUGAUUUGUAAUCUUCUCUUUCUCGUGUUGACUCGUUGUUGUUAUUGCAUUUUUUGAAUGAAGAAAUGUUGUCUGAUAAUCUGAACUAAUGACGAUAGAAUCCCCUUUUUUGGCAUGUUUGUAUACGAAAAAUUGUCUGGGUUUCAUUGUGAUUGAACAAAGGGUUUUUCUUUCCUUUCCUUUUCUUUUUCUUUUUUUUUUUUUGGGUGGGGUUGGGGGGGGGGGGGGUUCUGAAUUAAUUACCGUUCUUAAGAAUCAAUUGGUACUGUGAUUAAAUACUUUAGCUUGAAAAAUGAGUUAACAUUACUGCUUUUCCAUGAUAAUUUUACUUCUAUGUUCGUUCCUUUUUCUUUUUUUUUUCUUUUUUUUGUUAUUUAUUUAUUUAUUUUUUUGCACAAGUUUUCUUAAUUAAUGACAAGAGAAGUGCUUAAUCUGUUACCGUUAAUGGGUUAUCGGAAAGGAAAGGAAGGCUUUUGUUAUGUAGUCUCAUUGAAACAUCAAAUCUUUUCUUAUAAUAGGUUAUGUUUAGCUAAUCAUUGCACAUGAAGUUAUUACUUGUUCAACAUUGAUUGCUUGCCUUCUAGGUUAAACCCUAAUGUUAAGGGUCCCCCACCACCCCUGUCCUGGAGCAUCGUGAGGGAGGUAAAUCGCAGGUUAUGCCUCCAAGGGUACAGGGUGGAAGGCUGCUUGUAUACUUGCAUUUACCCAAGAGCCAAAUCCAUAUUUCAGGAAUCGAACCCUUGACGCAGCACUCUCAAACAAAGCUGGAUUCCUCCACCCUCCCCUUUUACCACUUGGAGAUGUGCUCUGGGGGCGAUUGCUUGCCUUCUAGAUAGUGUUACAAAUAUACUAUUUGGGAACUGCAUAUAUUGUUGGACAAUUAUAAUUGUUGAGCUUUUCAAGAAACUAGUAUAAAUGUGAUUUUAAUUGAUCAUUGCCUGCUUUCAUUUAUUUAUUUAUUUAUUUUUUUUUUUGUAAUUUUAGGGACAAGGGACUCAUGGCAACUGCGACAAUGGCCACUGCAGCAGGUGCUGCUGCACUUUUGUAUUAUACACUGAACAAAAAAUUACAGUCUAAUCCAUUAACGGGUGAUGACGAAGACGGGAGUGAUGUACAGAAUCAUGCUCCAUUAGGGAUUGCUAGGGUCUCUCAUAGGCUUGUUCAAGCUCCUGCCACGUGGAUAGAGACAAUUUCUACUUUGUCGGAGACUCUUAGAUUCACUUAUUCCGAGACUUUGGGAAAGUGGCCCAUUGGGGAUUUGGCGUUUGGUAUCAGCUUUCUCUUAAAGAGGCAGGUAAGCACAUAUCAAUGUUUGAUAUGCUCCGAAUCAACAUGCAUGUAGACACGUGUCUUUGCUUUUCUUUUUCCAAUUUCUUAUUGAAAUAAUAUCACUAUUAGUUUAAUCCAACAAUAAUGGUCUGCCCUCUACAAUAUCCACAAAAUAGGAGGAAAGAACCCACACUGAUGCCUAGAAAUCCCUUAACUUAAAGAACAAAGAAGUAGAUGAAAAUGCUUUUUUCUUUGUUCAGUUGAAUCAUAAUACAAGGCCUAUAUAAUUGAGAAUGGUAAAAAGGGUCUAAUUCUGAUACUUUAAGACCUGAGUUCGAUUUUGAUUUUUAUGUAAGGGCACUAUAUUUGUAGUGAAUGUUGUGUAGAAUAGUGAAAAAGAACGGUAAAAGAAGAUAAACAAGAAUUUAUGGUACAGAUUUAAUGUAUAAUUAAGCAGCAUCUAUACACAUAUCUUAACCUGGAAUUUUUAUUUUACGUCCGAUCCUGAUCAUUAGAUACCUGAUAGUACCAAAUGCCUCCCUCCUAUCUUGCUGCAGCUUAUGCCACUGAAAUAUGUUAUUUUAAAGCAUGAUAUGUCUGGAUUGCCUGGAAUUGGGCCCGGAUUUUCAUACUCAUAAUCACAUUCCAAUUGAUUUGAAAACCUAACGUUUUUUUAACUUUUCUAGUUUAUCUUUUAAGCACAUGAACUUGCUUUACAGGGGAACUUGCAUUUUGGUCACAUAUUUGGUGAUAAAGAUAGUUCACAGCUCAAAGGACCUGAAAUUGCUGCAGAGCUUAGAUACCUCUUGAAUUUGCUAACCCUCUGCUGGCAUUUCUCCAAAAAGCCCUUUCUUACGUUUCUGGAGGAGACAGGCUAUUCUGAAGAAGACGUUCUUCUUCAAGAACCCAAAGCUGGAGUAAGUUUCCUAUGUCAAGUGAUUACUCACGAGGGGUGUCUGUACCGUGAUUUGUUUUCUAUUUAGUGAAUCUUUUUCAGGAGAGUAGACAGAAGAACAAUUAUACAUUAUAUGGUCUUCGUCAUAUGAUGGACAUGGUGUACUAUUUUGCAGAUUUUAAAGCCAGCCUUCACUGUUUUGGUUGAUCACAAAAUGAAAAGUUUCCUCUUACUAAUUCGUGGAACUCACAGUGUCAAGGACACUUUGACAGCUGUUACUGGUGCAGUGGUACCUUUCCAUCAUACAGUGGUACAUGAUGGAGGAGUCAGCAACUUGGUUUUAGGUUAUGCCCAUUGCGGAAUGGUUGCAGCUGCUAGGUGGAUUGCAAAACUUGCUACUCCUUGUCUAGAGAAAGCCCUUAGCACUCAUCCUGAUUACAAACUUACGGUACCAUACACUGUGUUUUCCACUUGUGCUUCCUUUUGUUUUCUUUAUUUAUGUUCAAUAAUCUGAAUUGUGACAAUGAACUGCUAUCAGAGAUCACCACAUCUACGAGAGUCAUCAUCUUUUAAAUUUGUAGUGCAUAUAGUACAUCUUGAUAUAUUAUAAACAGGAAGAAGGUUUUUUUCUUUGGUGCAUCACUUGUUUUAUCGUUUAUAUAUUUCAUUUCACAAAUCCAUACAUCCUUCGUAGAUUCAAUGCUUUUCUAAAAGUAUUCCAUGUUAAUUUUUAUUUUUUUUGGUUGUGUGUGCUUCAUUUCUAUAUCGUUCUUCAGAUACUGUGUGAGUUCUGAGCAUAGCUAUUUUUUCAAAAAGUUCACAUCCUCGGUGAGGCAUGUGUUUCGUUUCAAAUUAUUUGUCAUGUUCAUGGUUAUAGAUAUUUGUUUCUGUUGUCUACAGAUUGUAGGACAUUCUUUGGGUGGGGGCACUGCUGCACUUUUGACAUAUGUAUUACGUGAACGGAAAGAAAUGUCAACCACAAACUGCGUUGCAUUUGCUCCAGGUUCAUUUAUAUUGUAAUACGAAAUUAAUCCUCUUCAUUUUCCUGUGUAUUCUGAUAAUUGUUUACCUGUGCUUUUGUUAAGAUUUUGCUUUCAUCAGGCAGGAUCUAAUAUUUAGGGGCUUAAUUUUAUUUCUGAUGCUUCUGUUUUUUACUACCUUGAGCAGCUGCUUGUAUGACGUGGGAGUUAGCUGAAUCAGGAGCCGACUUUGUUACUUCCGUGAUAAAUGGAGCAGAUUUGGUGCCUACAUUCUCUGCUGCUUCAGUGGAUGAUUUGCGCACUGAGGUAUUAAUGGAUAUCUUUCAUCAAGUUUCUUUUCAGUCGUUUUUUUCUUUUUGCUUGGCUUGUUGUAAUGUAAUAUGAAGAUACUCUCUUUUUUUGCUUAUGUACUCCUUAUUAUUGGGAUUUUUUUUAUUUUUUUGAUAAUUCUAUGUUAUUCUAGUGUUUUUGAUUAAUUGAAUAUUUGUACUUGAUAAGGCAGGAGGAGCAUCUCUAGUAGAAAUCCAAGUUUGGAAAAAUAUGUGGCUUGUUUUUCUCUGUUAUUAUGUUGAUCACGUCUCUUUAUCAUUGAUUUAACCCUAGUAAAUUGUGGAGCAUCUGCACAGGAAUAUUUGUCUAUGUGGUUGCAUAGUUUAAUAGAACUGCUCACUGAAGAAAGCAGCUUGCUCCACAGCGGGUUCCUACUACUCUUGGGUAAGACGGAUAUCAUGAAUACCUUCCAGGUGGCAUAAUUAUUACACGUUGCUCAUUUUCGUUUGGGUAAUAGUUAAAAAUGGUGGUGCAUGAAGCACCUGUCGUAAAAUGCAAUUCAUUUGAAACCGUGAAAUGGGAGGUGACCCUAAAUCUUAAACAUAAAUCUAUUGUCAUUAUUUAUAUAUGGCAUUAGAUACUAUUAAUAAUUUGUAACUAUUCUUCUCCUCUAUUUGUACACCGUCACUCAUCUCUCAAUUCAUGAUAUAUGAAACCAUCAAGGAGCGUAGCUCAUGGAAAUUGGAGCUCCAUUUUAACAUAUGCCUUGCAUUUACUUCAAGACUAUGGCAAAAACCCAUUUUGCUCCCCUCUUUUGAUGUGAAACCAAGUGGGUUUUAAUUUGUCAGUUCUCACAUACAAAAGGGCAUCAUGAGUAAACUCUGCCUCUUUUCCUCCUUUAUGAGUUUCCAAGAUUGUGCUAGGUGCUUUUAAGUGAAGGAGAAGGCUUAUCGAGAAAAUUCAGGGAAAUUAAAAAAAUGGAAAAACCUUCAGAGAGAGGGAGGUAAUGCAUGGAUGGUUGGCAGACUUAAACAAUUAUAAAAAAUUAUGCCCUCUUAAAAGGCAGGGUGUUCCAGAAGUAAGAGGAAAAAGUAAAAACUUGUAUUAAUUCUUUGGCCGACUGGUAUUGGACGGUUUUGACUUUUUGGUGACCUGUAUGGAUAUGAAUAUAACUUGGAUGGAAAGGUGGCUGGGUCUUGAUCCUAGCGUUGGAUCGGCCAACUCUGGUAGCAUUUGCUACAAGUUGAUGUUUGCAAAAGUUUUCUUCCUCCAGAAGGAGCAGGCUGGGAAGUAUUGCCCUAAGAGGACUUCAUAUGUCUACAGGGGCCAUAAUAGGUGCAGGCCCUGUCCAAUCAUAUUCGUAUAUUUUUAGUACUCAGCACAAUAUGUUAAAGAAGCGUGACAUGCUAGAUUUGGGUUGGGCAUGUAUCUUUUAGAAGCUAAAAUAUGUGGUGACUAUGAGUAUUUCACUGUCUUCAAUCAGAAAUGUGUUUCCCUUGUUUUAGUUUCGCUAGAUAUUUGGCACGAUCCCACCUUUGCGAUUGGGAUUGAAUUUUUGGUUUUUAAGUAUUUGGGUUCUACUUCAUGCUUUAUAUCCAAUGUUGAAUGAUUUUCCGUGAGUGACAUUGCAAUCUGCCAGCAAAUAUAUUUCAAGGUGUCACAUAAUAUCACAUUCUCGAGAUAUGCAUAAAUAUGACCAUCAAAGCUUGAUGUCCUUAUGUUGAUUAUUUCCUAUAUUAUUACAUAUAAUUUUAUUUGAUAUAUUUUUGUAGUUAAUGUUUUUUCUCAACUUUUUGCAGGUUACGGCUUCUGCUUGGUUGAAUGACCUGAGGAAUCAGAUUGAACGCACCAGGGUUCUGAGCACAGUUUAUCGCUCUGCUUCAGCUUUGGGUUCUCGACUUCCAUCCAUGGCCAGUGCUAAAGCCAAAGUUGCUGGUGCUGGUGCAAUAUUACGUCCAGUUUCCAGCGGUACUCAGGUAUGUAUAUUGCGGUCAUGCAAUCAGUUCUGCUUUGGAUUGUUGUGGCAAGGGAAAAUAGCAGCUGAGGUGCCCCAACCUUUGAUGUGUUGCACUUUGGUCUGUAACCUCUAAUAUGAAGCAUUUUUGUCCCAAGGUUUCAUUUUAGUUUUAGUAGCACAUGGUCCUCAGGUCGACAACUUUACCCAUAUUUUUAGUCAACAAGUCAAAAUUUUAUUAAAAAAGACGAUUUCACCCUUAUUUUAUGUAGACAAAAAAUGAAAUAAAUAACCAAAGAAACAAUUAGGAAUAAAAGAGAAGGCAAAGGAAAAAUGGGAAAAAAACAAAGAGAACAAUUUGGGUUCUCUUCUCCAGUCGGUCACCCCACCACCAUACCACCCUCCUCUAAUCUCCAUUUGCCACCAGUGACCAGCCAACCAUACUUGUAGAGACAUAAACCAGCUGCAACCAACAACCUUCAAAACUGAACCCUCAGAACCCCCAAGUCUAGUCUGUAUUCAACCACCCAAAGAAAUAAAACUGCGAGAGAGAUUGUUCAAUAUGUUUAUAGCAACACAGAAAAAAAAAUGCUAGUUUAAGCAUGUCUCCAUAAAUUUUAGGUAAAAAUUGUACUUGUGAAUUUUUUCUUUCUUUCUCCUUGUCUCUGUUAAAUGAAAAAUGAAGGAAUACUCUAGUAACAUUCAUUUUAAUUUUAUACUAAAUUUCUUGUACGGUCUAAUCCGGUUCGCCAAACACACCCUUGACGGUUUUGCUUUAUGCACUAGAAGUACAUCUCUGAUUGACACUGUGAUAUGGGUUUGAGAAUAUGACCCUAGAGGCUGUCCAUUUUGCCUUCCCUAUCAGUACCACUAACAAAAUACUGGGAGCUUCAUAAUGUGAGGGGUGGUAUUACCUUUAACCAUAUGUGCCUAUGUAUACUUUUUGAUCUUUAUAAUUCCAGAUGUAUUUAGUUCUAUUAUAUAGGACUGAUGUUGUUGUGUUAACUAGGUUGUUAUGAAGAGAGCACAAAGCAUGGCUCAGGCAGCUUGGUCACGCCCUUACCUACGCUCAUGGUCAUGCAUAGGUCCACGUCGUCGAUCCUCAAUUGCUCAGAUAAAUUAUAAUGAAGGAGAAGACUCAUCAGGAUCUUCUUCAACUCAAAGAGAAACUUCGGAGCCUUUUCUCACGACCACUGAAGAGACAAGAACGGCUAUUGAAAAUAUGGAACUUCCUGUAUCUUCUUCUGAUGGAAUGGUUGAGAGUUCAGACAACUUUAUAGAUGAGGUUGGUGUCUCAGAUAGUAUGGCUACUAAGGAUGAUGAUGACGAGGUUGCGUAUGAUGUAAGGCAUGAAGAUCACACAAUGGAAAUAGAGUUGUGGGAACAACUCGAGCUCAAGCUUAAUGAGCAAGCUGAUAGUGGUGAAGCCGAUGUGGCCAAGGAAAUUAGGGAAGAAGAAGAAGCAGCCAUUGCAGAAGUAAGUGACAGCCAGACCCAAAGCUCUAUCCCAGAUGCCAAGGAGGUGCAUAGAUUUUUCCCUCCGGGAAAGAUAAUGCAUAUUGUGACACUAACAUCCGACGAAGUGGGCCGUGAGAGUGAUAGCAGUAUUUCCAAUGACGGGGACCAAAGCCAGCCGGAGGAAGAGGCGAAGGUUGGAAUUUUUCUCACUCCCAGGUCAUUGUAUAGUAAAUUAAGGCUAUCGCAUACCAUGAUAAACGACCAUUUUAUGCCGGCUUAUAGAAGACGAAUUGAAAAGCUGAUUAAAGAACUUGAGAAUGAAGUGACUUCUGAUACACACAAUUGUAGCUGAGAAAUUGAACAGGAAGUGCUGUAAACUGUUGGUAGUGAAUUUUGGUCGCAUCUUAAGUGUUAGCAUCAAGAGGACUACACAUAUCCUUAAAGGUGACGUCUUUAACCACAAUUCUUUGUUCUGAAAAUGAUUUUGACAUGUGCAUAGGCUUAAAGAGUUUUCAUUUCCAUUGAUAGUGAGAGUCCCUUUCGCAAUCAUGAAUUCUAUAUUACAUCAUUAAAAGCAUUAUUUUCUUUGGUCCAUCGUCUAUUAUAAAUACACCAAUCACCAUAUGAAUGAGAAAAUGUUGCCUAACUUAUUUAACAAUUUUAAUGCCCACUUGACUCUUUGCACCACUUUGAAUCUCUAAAUCAUUUCAUUUAAUUCUUAAUUUGCUUUGAAAAGACAUUCUCUUUUUCUUGGCCACCCAUAAUUUGCACGUAAUGAUCCUACAAUCGCUAGUGUGUACGCACGAAUAUAUUCAAGUUUAUACACGAGGACGAGGAAGGUAAACGUGAAAGAAUGUGUUACAAGAGACGCAUAAGAAGUCGACUAGAAGUUCGUACACCUCCAAAUUUGUUUCUUGAUUCUAUUUUGAUCUUAUUCGCAAAAGACCAACAAUAAGAUUCAUUCUAGUUUAUCAAAAUCCAAGAAAAAUUUAAAAUGGAUAUGAAGUAGAAGAGGCAAAAGUCGGAGCAAAAAUGGCCUUUGAUUUGUCCAUGCAUUUAUUUCUUAGAAUGGGCAUGCAAAGUCUACCAUAGUUUGGGGCAAAAUUAAAUGAGGUAGAUAUAAAUUAAUGAGAAUGUGAAAGAAACCUAACAUUGCAUCAAACGAUUUCUUCUUUGCAUAAUAAAAAAGAAUGAUUUUCUUUCUUUUUUUUUUAUUAUUAUUUUAGUGUAAAAAAUGAAUAAAAGUUUUUAGUUUCACAUUUGGAUAGUCCUGAAAUCUAGCUGGAAAAUGAAAAUAACACGUCUGAGUGGAACACGUGGCAACAAACCAUUGAUUGAUACGGCAUAAAGAAAGCAACAUAAUCCUUCUUCUUUAUAUACGCAGAUAACACGGAGUCGACGAAUAACAGUAAUAUACAAAUUACUUCAUACCAGCGACUGUUUACGUGUACUCUACCUCCAUUAAUCGAUCUCUCUUUUUAAAAUUUAUUUGAUUUGAUUUGAUUGAUUCACAUUCAUAUUCAAAAAUCUCUCUAUACCAAAUCAUCGUAUCCAGUUUUCUGAAAUGUCUUUCAUGCACACGUUCUUCGUUCCUGAGGAAGCCAAGGUGGGCGACUGGGAGAAGGAAAGAUAAGAAAACCCAAAUUAAACAGGAUUUACUUGUAGAUAUCCCUCUUGAUCAGGUAAUUUCUUGGCAGAAUUCUGUUUUUUAUUUCAUGAAAAACCCAUGUUUAGAUUCAUCAUGUUUGUGUGAAUUUGUGGUUUUUCAGGCAUGUCGACGAGUGUAUUCGGUGAUUCGAUGGUGAAAAUUACAGGACAAAAUGAGCUUGAUUUUGUCGAAUGCGAUUGCUGUGGAUUGACAGAGGAAUGCACCCUGUCCUACAUAGAGACAGUACGCGAGCGUUAUAAGGGAAAAUGGAUUUGUGGGCUCUGUUCCGAGGCCGUAAACGAUGAAGUUAAGCAAAAAUCAAUAAGCCCAGAAGAGGCCAUGGCUCGCCAUUUCAGCUUCUGCUACAAAUUUAGGUUGGCUGGGCCACCGCCGGACCCAACCCGGCAUUUGAUCACCGCCAUGAGACAGGUUUUAAGAAAAAGCUUAGACAGUCCCAAGUUCAUAAGGUCGAUGCCAAGUAGUCCCACGAAGAACAGGGGAGAUAUUAGCAUGGGGCUUACUCGAUCGGAGAGCUGUAUUCCGAGUCUGUCUGAAUCGGUUUGUUGUGGAAUUGAUGAAGAUUGUGAAUAACCAGUAAAUUCAAAGUUUCACUGUGUAUAAACAAGAAACCAAUGAAGUUUAACUCAAAAAGUGCUUAAUUCAGAUGUAUCAAUAUCAUCAAUCAUGUUAAGAAAUGAAAAUGGAAAUAAAAAUUACUUGCCUAUAAUUUGUGUCUGGUGUUUUCUUUCAAUUAUGUGGUUAACAAUAAUUGAGAUUCAUAUUCAGAUUUUAUAAUGAUAGGCUAUUGUCAUGUCUGUAUCUUGACGCGAAUCGAAUUGAAUACAAGCAAGCAAUUUG
rnacentral:lncRNA from 1 species